CCCGGUGGCUAUACCGGAGGGGCCACACCCGAUCCCAUUCCGAACUCGGAAGUUAAGCCCUCCAGGGCCGAUGAUACUGCGGCGAUUCCGCCGUGGGAAAGUAGGUCGCUGCCGGGA
rnacentral:rRNA from 1 species